UUUGACCUCAAAUCCAGG
rnacentral:rRNA from 1 species